rnacentral:rRNA from 1 species
ACGAACGCUGGCGGCGUGCCUAACACAUGCAAGUCGAACGAGAAAGGGGCUUCGGCUCCGAGUAAAGUGGCGCACGGGUGAGUAACACGUGGGUAACCUGCCUCUAAGAUUGGGAUAACUCGUCGAAAGAUGAGCUAAUACCGAAUAAGACCACAGUUCCCGCGGGAACAGGGGUCAAAGGUAGCCUCUGCUUGCAAGCUAUCACUUAGAGAUGGGCCUGCGCACCAUUAGCUAGUUGGUAGGGUAACGGCCUACCAAGGCAAAGAUGGUUAGCUGGUCUGAGAGGAUGAUCAGCCACACUGGAACUGAGACACGGUCCAGACUCCUACGGGAGGCAGCAGUGGGGAAUAUUGCGCAAUGGGCGAAAGCUUGACGCAGCAACGCCGCGUGAGUGAUGAAGGCCUUCGGGUCGUAAAGCUCUGUCGGGAGGAACGAAUGCUCCUGAGGCUAACAGCCUCGGGAGGUGACGGUACCUUCAAAGGAAGCACCGGCUAACUCUGUG